UAUUUGUUAGGAGCGUGUAGUAAAAGCCCACCCCCGCGGCUACCUCAGGCGGGCGGCCCGACGGGGGAGGGGGGCUGAAGGUUGGAUUCGGUGCCGCCUGGCGGUGGGCCCGGCUCCUGCAUUAAUCGCGGCCCCCCGGGAAAUUGGCUCCGCUGGGGGCUGAGCCGGCCACGCGCAGGGCCGGGCCGGGCCUCCCCUGGGAGCUGUUCUGGGCCGCUUGGCUUCAGCACCUUCCUCAGUGAUGUAGAGACUGGUGUAGCCAGCGCGUAUAACGUUUGGGGACGAUACCAAGCUGGAAGGGGGUGCAAGUGCUUUGCAGUAAGUUUCCCAUGACACCCUGUACAAUGCAGUGCUGUAGAUCCUGCAAGGGACUCAAGUGAAACCACGCAAGUUUGCGGAAACUGUGGAGCUGCUGAUCAGCCU